GUGCUCGCUUUGGCAGCACAUAUACUAAAAUUGGAAUGAUCCAGAGAAGAUUAGCAUGACCCCCUUGGAAGGAUGACACGCAGAUUUGUGAAGCAUUCCAUAUUUUU